UACAGAGGUCUCAAGCGUUGUUCGGAUUCAUUGGGCGUAAAGGGUGUGUAGGUGGCGCCGUUAGUCGGGUGUGAAAUUUCGGAGCUUAACUCCGAAACUGCAUUCGAUACUGCCGUGCCUGAGGGCUGGAGAGGAGACUGGAAUUUACGGUGUAGCGGUGAAAUGCGUAGAUAUCGUAAGGAAGACCAGUGGCGAAGGCGGGUCUCUGGACAGUUCCUGACGCUGAGGCACGAAGGUCAGGGGAGCAAACGGG
rnacentral:rRNA from 1 species